CAGCAUCCUAUUCUACGACGAAAGGUCGGUUUGAACUGAGUCAUGUUUGAAGUGGCGUGAGACUCAUUGAAUCAAAUCACAAUCGAGAUCCAUGAAUGUUGUGUUCGUACGUUUUAAAUGAAUUGACUAUGUAUUCCUAACAGUUCAAAUUUUUGAAAUUAAUGAUUAGCAUCAACAAUCCGACAAUAAGAAAUCUUAUAGGAUUCGAACCCAAAACUUUCUGCAUAGGCAGUAUGUCUAAACUAUGUGAA
rnacentral:lncRNA from 1 species